GGAGAUCCCUCUGUGGAGUCUUUCCUGCAAACUUAGAUCUUUAGAUACAGAUGUGCAUGAGGAAGAAGAUAGGACUCAAUAUGGAGAAAGCUGUUAUGAAGGAAGCACAACAACAUCCAACCUGUGGUGUGUGAUCUGUCUGCAGCCUGGCCCAGCUGGCAAGCAACUUAUGGAUAUGUUCUUCACUCAAUGCAGCCCGGGCAAGCCAAAGAGUUGGACACCAUGAGCCAGAACAAGUCUUCCCUUUCUCUGAUGGAUCACCUUUUGAUGAGACAAAAACUUUCUGUGCCAGGGAAGCACAGAGGUGAUUGACUUGUCAAGUCAGUGAGGGCUUCUUUACUGGGAUAUUAAUUCAUGUUUUCUGAAGCUCACUGUAGUGUCUGCUUCAUCAAGCACAUCUUUCUAGUAAAAAAUAGGUCCUUAUUCCUAACCUAUGGACUAUAAAUCUCCUAAGCUAUGUCUCUGGGUACCUGUAAAAUUGCUGAGUACAUAAAGAGCAGAGUCAUCAUCAGAAUAACAACAAUAACAUUUUUUGACUACACAACUCAGCUACAUGCUGUGGAUGUGGGUUUACCAAGGAGACAGACUAUUGCUAGCUUCCUUUCUGACUUGCAGACUUCAUAUCUCAAUUGCACUGCCUGUAACUGCUAUAUUAAUACAUACUGUAUAUUUUAAUACAUAUUGUAUGAUAUCUUAGGCAAUAACAUAUUGAUGUGAAAUUCUAUAAAAUGUUGUAACAUUCUUCUUGAAAAAACAAGAUAAAAUGACACUAAAAUAAAAAUGAAGGAUUUAUACUUGUUUGAAUUUCACACAAUGGUUGUGCCUUUGAGAAGCCAAUAGUUAUUAUGUUGAAAAAGGUAAAUCUAUAAAUAAGAUUUAAAGAACACAGAUGCAUAAAGCACAGAGGAAAGAGUGGUUUUCUGGAGUCUAAAUGUACCUGCCACUUGCUUGCUUCUGAUCUCAGUCAACAUGAGUAAAUUAGGUUGCUGCUUUUCAUCAUCUGUUCUCAGAUUGGUGUCAAGGACUACUUUAGUGUCUCAGAACACAUUUUAUGUUAGGAAUAUAUGACCAGUGUGGAAGUGAAAGUGGGCCCUGUUGGCACCACAGGCAUGCGUGGAGGGAGAGGGCAAGAGUUUUUAGAGCAGACCAGCCAGAAAGUAACUGGUCAGUUGAACAGCUGAUAUUGAGAAGAGGCCAUCACAGGAUC